GCGUCGCGGGGCACCAUGGGAGAAUCCGCGGGCGGCCGGCAUGGCGGCGGCGGCGGCGGGCGGCUGAGGGGCGGCGGUGGCGGCGGGGGGCGGCCAUGGUGUCGCCGGCGGCGCGGCUGGUGGGGCAGGGCGUGUGGGCGGCGCUGACCGGGGGCUGGUACCACGACCCGGAGCAGGGCGCCUUCACCAACAGCUGCCACCUCUAUCUGUGGCUGUUCCUGCUGACGCUGCCCAUGGCCCUGCACCUGGCUUUUCCAGCAAAUGCAGUUACAGUUUUUGUGUACUGCAGCUCGGUGACAGUGUUCUUCACAGUAAUAAAGGUGAUCAGUUACCGUCUGCACCUUAUGUUUGAUAAAGGUGAAGUAAUUCAGCAAAAGCUCUCAAGAAAAAAUGGAAGGCAAUGUAAAGAUACAGAGGUUCCAAAAGGAAACACAGUUCAGCCCUCAAAUCAUAGCAAUAACACCGGGGAUAAUGGUGUCAUCGGUGAGACCAGCCAAAAUGACUCUACCCAAACGAUUCACGACAGUUCAAGAGCACAGGCUCUGCAAUCCCAGAACUCACCUGGAGCCAUGGAGCUGCCAACACAGGAAACUAUUGAAGAUCUAAGAGGUGUUAUGGUAUUAGAAGACCAGGCUGCACCACCAGUUUCAUCUACCUCACCCUUUAUCAGAGCAGAUACAUUACCUGCUUCUACAGCCUCUGCUUCAGGUGCCACAACAUCAGCAAUAGUGACAAAACCAGCUGCUAUGGAGACACUUUGUCAUAAUGGAAUAAAUGAAAAAGAAGGGAACAGGCAGCCAUACAGACAGCAUGGAUCCCAAGAUAUUCUUGUGGACAGAGAUGCAGCUAAAAACUUCUCCAAUAUUUCUUCAUCACAAGGUGAUAUUUUAAAGACUGGAGUUUCUUCAGAGCCAUGGGACAGUGAAAAUUCAGUUAUUUCAGACCAUUUGAGUAAUCCUAAAAGCUACAAAAGAGAGAAAUUGCCAGAUACAUCACCACAGACAGGCUUUACCAGUAACUGCCCACAGUGCAAUGCCAUUGCAACCAAAGAUCCUGAGCAUGUGGAAGGUUGCUGUAACACUCAUGAGGACCUUGAUUGCUCAGACAGCGAGACUGCUGUCGCGGUUGUGGACAACUCUCUUCCUGGAGACCAGCUUUGUGAGCCCAUUAAAAUUGUCAUCACGAUGAGUACUACACCAAACACCACACUCAGUGACCUGGCGGGCUCUGUCCACCUGCAGGCUCUGGGAACUGAGAGAACGAGCUCGGCCAUCGAGUCUGGUGUAGUUACGCCAGGGUGGCCAAGUCAGCAAACUAAUGAACAGCUCAAAAUCCCUGUUAUCACUUUUGACUUGUCUGAUGACAGUAAAGAUAAGGCUGGCCCGGAAGUUAGUGAGAGCGAAAGAACUCCAGAAUUUUUAAGGGCAGAGCUGUCGUCCAACCAAUGCUCUGGCUAUGAAUCGGGUGAUGCAGUGAAGGAACACAGCAACCCAGCAAACAGUCCUUUAGAAACUAACACUUGUUCGGAUCCAAACAGGGAGAAUGCUUCUGAAAAUGUGCAGACCGUGGAUUUAACUUCCAAGGAAGACCUGCAGAACCUAGACCCACAGUGCGGUAGAACUGCUCAUGAAAAGAGGCAUAUGCGGGUGCUGAGUGUAGACAGUGGGACAGAUGUGCUUUUAAGUAAGAAUUUCAUGGAGGUAUCUGACAAAGAAAAGACCUUACCAACUUCUAAAUCGGAUCUGGAAGCUAAAGAAGGACAGGUGCCCAAUGAAUCUAACUUUCUAGAAUUUGUCUCCCUCCUGGAAUCCAUUAAUACCUCAAAGAUGAAGGCAUCUAAUCAACUGAAUAUCAAAAUGGAGACGACAAAGGAAAAUGGGAUUGUUGGAGAUCCUAUAACAAGCUGUUCUAAGGCAGCCCAAGAGGAUGAAAUCUCAGUACCUAUGAAGGAUAGCCAGACAAUGGAGAGAAAAGAAGAAAUGGUGGGAACAGAAAAACACUGUGAGCAACUUCCUAAACAGGAAAGAUCAGAUGUGCAAAGCCAAGAUCGUGCUAGUACUAGUCCAGUGCCACCGGAGUCUGCCAAAUUUGCAGCACUUUACCAGGGCAGCAGGCAAAGGCAGAUAAUCUACCGGGUAACUUCUCAGCAAGACAGUUCUGUCUUGCAAGUAAUAAGUGGACCUGAGGCGUCUGUGCAAGAUGAGCUAUCCGUGGAUGCGAUGCACGUGUUCAUAGAUGAAAACGGGGAAAUUAGAUCCUGUUACUUAAAGGCCGGCUGUCAGAAGGAAGGAAAUUUUCGACAUCAGCUAUCAAAUUGUGAUUGUAUUUCAAAUGCUCAUGAAAUACAGUUCAGCUCCUCUAGUACUACCACUUCAGAGAGCCAAGAACCAUCUUCUGGCGACCAAGCAGCGAGCGCACUUCAGCAGCAGCUCCUACUGAUGGUGGCACGAAGGACCCUUUCAGAAAGCCCACGGCAACCCAGCCAGGACCCUGAGGAUUCUUCAUGUUCUUCAGCACAGCGGAAACUGAACAGGCAGUUUUACAGAUUUAUUAUAUUCCCUGGCAAAUGGAUUAAAGUCUGGUACGAUCGUCUUGCCUUAUUGGCACUGUUAGACAGGACGGAAGAUAUAAAGGAGAAUGUAUUUGCUGUCCUUCUAGUAGUUCUCGUUUCACUUCUUGGAUUCCUGACUCUGAAUCAAGGCUUCUGUAAAGACAUUUGGGUUCUGCUGUUCUGUCUCGUGAUGGCCAGCUGCCAGUAUUCUCUCCUAAAGAGCGUCCAACCUGAUCCUGCUUCACCAAUACAUGGUCACAAUAAAAUCAUAACCUACAGCAGGCCUGUUUAUUUUUGUAUAUUGUGUGGCCUUAUUUUGCUGCUAGAUGCUGGAUCUAAAGACACAAAUCCUCCAGUUUAUACAAUGUAUGGCUUGAAGCUCUUUUCGCCUAGAUCUCUCCAGUCAGCCAGAGACCAUGUAAUAGUGUUUUUAUAUUGCUUUCCUGCAAUUUCUCUUCUUGGUCUUUUCCCUCAAAUCAACACCUUCUGUAUAUAUCUUUUGGAGCAAAUAGACAUGUUGCUUUUUGGCGGUUCUGCUGCUGCUGGGUUUGUAUCUGCACUAUACAGCAUUUCCCGAAGCUUUGUGGUUCUGAUUGUCCUAUAUGCUUUCUGCUUCAGUGCAGUGAAGGAACCCUGGGAUGCACAACACAUUCCAGCACUGUUCUCUGCUUUCUGUGGUCUGCUAGUUGCACUUUCUUAUCACCUCAGCAGACAAAGCAGUGACCCAUCUGUACUGAUGUCCCUUAUUCAGUGCAAAUAUGUCCCUCACUUUCUACGUCAACAAUUUGAAGAUUCGUCAGCAGAUCCACUCCCAGAAAAGAUGAGAGAAUCAGUGAAAGAAAUCUUGAAAUCGGAUCUCAUCGUCUGCACAGCGGCUGCUGUUCUGUCAUUUGCUGUCAGUGCCAGUACUGUGUUUCUAUCAUUAAGGCCAUUUCUGAGCAUUGUCCUGUUUGCUUUAGCGUGGACUGUGGGGUUUGUAACACAUUACGUGCUUCCUCAGCUUCGCAAGCAUCACCCUUGGCUGUGGAUCUCCCACCCCAUACUUAAAAGCAAAGAGCACCAGCAACGGGAAGUGAGAGAUGCUGCUCAUUUGAUGUGGUUUGAAAGGCUCUAUGUGUGGCUUCAAUGCUUUGAGAAAUACAUCUUGUAUCCAGCUAUAAUACUGAAUGCCCUCACCAUUGAUGCUUUCUCGAUUAGUAAAUACAAGAAGCUUGGUACACACUGUGAUAUUAUCCUGAUAACAGUUGCUGGGAUGAAACUCCUCCGCUCCUCAUUCUGUAAUCCCAUUAAUCAAUUUGUUACAUUGAGCUUUACUGUAAUCUUCUUUCGAUUUGACUAUAGAGACAUUUCAGAAAAUUUCUUGCUGGAUUUCUUCAUGAUGUCCAUCGUGUUUCAUAAGCUGUGGGACCUACUGCAGAAGUUGCAAUUCAUCAUGACAUACAUUGCUCCCUGGCAGAUUGCCUGGGGAUCAUCGUUCCAUGUUUUUGCUCAGCUCUUUGCAAUACCUCACUCUGCUAUGCUUUUUUUUCAAACUCUGGCCACUUCAGUCUUUUCUACACCGCUGAGUCCGUUUCUUGGUAGUGUCAUCUUUAUCGCAUCAUACGCAAGACCGAUCAAGUUCUGGGAGAAAAACUACAACACCAAAAGAUCGGACCAUUCCAACACAAGACUGGCAAUUCAGAUCGAAAAGGAUGCAGGAAAUGAUGACAAUAAUCUCAACUCCAUUUUUUAUGAGCAUUUGACAAGAUCUCUACAGGAGUCGCUUUGUGGAGAUUUGAUUCUGGGCCGCUGGGGAAACUACAACACAGGAGACUGUUUUAUUCUGGCAUCGGAUUAUUUAAAUGCCUUUGUGCAUUUGAUCGAAAUUGGAAAUGGUCUGGUCACCUUUCAGCUCAGAGGGCUGGAAUUUCGAGGGACAUAUUGCCAGCAGAGAGAAGUGGAAGCUAUAACAGAAGGAGAUGAAGACAAUGAAGGCUGCUGCUGUUGUAAGCCCGGGCACUUGCCUCACUUGUUAUCGUGUAAUGCAGCCUUUAACCUGCGAUGGCUGACCUGGGAAAUAACCCGCACCCAGUACAUCCUGGAAGGGUACAGCAUCAUUGAUAACAACGCUGCAACGAUGCUACAAGUGUUCGACCUGCGGAGAAUACUUAUCCGAUACUAUAUAAAGAGUAUAAUAUACUUUACAGCAAGUUCUCCCAAAAUCCUCGACUGGAUAAAAGACGAAUCCAUCCAAAAGAUACUGCAGCCUUAUGCAAAGUGGCAUUAUAUUGAACGUGACCUUGCAAUGUUUAACAUUAACAUAGAUGAAGAUUAUGUGCCAUGUCUCCAAGGAAUAACCAGAGCUAGUUUCUGCAGUGUUUAUCUGGACUGGAUUCAGUUCUGUGCUAGAAAAAGGGUGGAGCACCUGGACAGUGAUGAAGAUUCUCCUCUUGUGACGCUUUCCUUUGCCUUGUGCAUACUGGGUCGGAGAGCUUUGGGAACUGCAGCUCACAAUAUGGCCAUCAGCUUGGACUCUUUUCUGUAUGGGCUCCACGCGCUGUUCAAAGGAGACUUUCGGAUAGCAGCGAAAGAUGAGUGGGUCUUUGCAGACAUGGAUCUGUUGCACAAGGUUGUUGCCCCGGCAAUCCGAAUGUCUCUGAAGCUACACCAGGACCAGUUCACCUGCCCAGAUGAGUAUGAGGACCCAGCAGUUUUGUAUGAAGCGAUCCAAUCUUUUGAAGAAAAGGUUGUGAUUUGUCAUGAAGGGGACCCAGCCUGGCGCAGCGCUGUUCUCUCCAACAGAGAGGAGCUGCUAACCCUGAGACACGUGGUGGAUGAAGGAGCGGAUGAAUAUAAAGUUAUCAUGCUCCACAAAAGCUACUUGAGCUUCAAGGUUAUCAAGGUCAACAAGGAGUGCGUCAGAGGCCUUUGGGCUGGGCAGCAGCAGGAGCUGAUUUUCUUACGCAAUCGGAACCCAGAGAGAGGAAGCAUCCAGAACAAUAAACAGGUCUUGCGGAACUUAAUUAAUUCUUCGUGUGAUCAGCCACUGGGAUACCCAAUGUACGUUUCCCCGUUAACCACCUCGUACCUUGGGACACACAGCCAACUGAGGAACAUUUGGGGGGGACCUGUCAGUUUGGACAACAUUACAAAGUGGUUCCGAUCCAAAUGGUUAAGGAUGCGGAAGGACUGCCAUGCAGCUCACCACGAGAGGGGGAACAUUGAAGAGGUGGACAGUGCAGGGGGAUCUUCGUCCAGCAGCAACUCCACAGGCAGUUCCAGCCAGAGCAGCAGCUCACAGCCCACCAGAGAUGGCACCCCUCAGCUGCAAGCUUCAUCUCAAGAGCCCCACCAGCAUGCAGGCAGGAGAAAACCCAGAAGUCAGUCCGUCCAGGCACACACUGCUUUAAACCAAAGGCCCCCUUCUUCAAGUCACUCUGGACCAAUUGUAGAAAGCCGCCAGCCUUUCAUCCAAACAUCUACAUCUGCCCACGAAAUUGCCCAAAGGCUUUCCAGCAGUCAGCUGUCAUUCCACAACUCAGCAACAUCUGUGUUUUCCCAGUCCCCCGCUGUUCCUGUUGCUGGCCAGCUGACUGUGCAGGAACGAGCUGCAGCCAUGCUCAGGUCCAGCCUGGCCUCUUCCACCAGCUCAACUCUCAGCCUGCUGUUCGGCAAGAGAAGUUUUUCAAGUGCUUUGGUGAUUUCGGGGCUCUCGGCUGCUGAAGGAGGUAACACCAGUGACACCCAGUCAUCCAGCAGUAUGAAUAUUGCCAUGGGUCCCUCUGCUAGAGCAGCAAGUCAGGCAACUCGGGUAAGGCUGCAGCCAAAAUAGCAGUGCUAAGCGUGAGCUUCUGUAUUGCUCUCCUGCCUGGUUCCUGAACUGUUCUCACCACUGUUUGUUAGUUUCUUUCCUCACUGGAUUUGGGUAUUUGUUUUGGAUUUCGCUGCAACACAAUCCAAAUGAGACCGUUUAGUGUGUACAUGAGAGUGAUGUAUCUGUAAGUAACUCACAGGCUGGCUGUUAAGUGUGGACCUGAAAUUGCAAACUGGAGGAAAGUCCCUCUUUCAUUCACUCAGACCUGGGACUUAGGUCUCAAUUUUCUGCAGCCUGGGUGCUGAGUACCAUCAUAAGCAGAAUAAAUAGCUCCUUCCUGGCUUGCUUAAGUAGGACUUAAUUAUUUGUACAAAGAGGAACGGUUCCCACUGAACGCUGCACUUGUUCUGUCCCUCUCUCUGACUAGAAAUUCAAUCCAGGACCUGACAGCCUUGUUGCUGAAAGGGUUAGCCAAAGGAAGUCUGUAGGAAAGAUUUCCUAAAGGAAACCUGUGUGCCCUGUGAUUCAGCAUUUUCCAACAGCGAAACAGUUGCACACAAAGAACUUCCAGCCCUCUUCCCAGGAGGGGCCCAGUUCUAUUCCCAUCUUCCCUGGAAAACUUAAUGCACAUAGUAGUGUUAUUGUUUUAUUGUCUACUUAAGUAUAUUUAUUUAACUCUGGUUGCCAUCAACUGCUUUCCUGAAUUUUGGAACUUUCACCUCAGCAAUACCGAGCAGUAACAUGAGAAGAUGGAUUAGAGAUAAAGAGCGACUGCAACUAAAGGUUGAGUGACAACAUAAUUAAGACUAACUUUCACAUUUGGCCUAUCAAAAUGGAAACAAAUUGCCAAUGGGAAAAUUGUGGAUAAGGUCCAAAUGAUUUUCCUGGCACUGUCAUUCUGAACUGUGUAUAACUUCCCUAAUUUUCAAAGAAUUCUUCAAACCCCAAGUAAAAUAAACUCCUUACCCUAUGUGUGUUUUGCGCUCAACACAAAAUACCAUGUAUGGUACCGUUCCCUGAAGUUUUGCCAUGAACUUCAACAGAGGUUGACUGAACAUUACUAACCUGGGUCCAAUCCUGCUUUAUUACUCUAAUGAGCAUUAGUAAUAUUUCUGCGUGUACAGCUGAACAUAUCAGUUGACAAGGUGUAAUUCCAGCUCUCAAGAGUUUACAGCCUAAUUGGCAAGAACUCAGCCAGUCUGCAAUACCAAGCACUAAUGGUGGGAUUCACCUUGUCCAACUUUAAGCCAUCUAAAAUUCGGGCAUGAAGUCUCGGUAGGUUUUUGGUGUGGCCUCUGUACUCAGUGGAGAGGACAAGCCACUUCACCCUUACAGCUGCCAAGAGGAAAUCUUCCCCAGGACACUCGUCUCUCCCUGCCCAUCACUGGCAGCCUAGAUGAUACUUAAACUAUACGAUUAAUUUAGAUGAGGCGAGUCCUCAUCAAAGUAACUGCUCAGAGUCCAGGUGCCUAUUUGAUUGGAAGUGGUAAGGAGGAAGUGUUUUAUUUAAACGUUAACGCAGCACAGUUCUGGAAAGCUUUUAUACUAAUGAGGUCAUUACAGUGGGGUGAUGCUGCACAUAACAUUUUCAGAUUGAUAAUUGCAUUCCUGUUCUGAUGGAAAGGUUUCUUUUUAAGUUGGACUUAAAAUUUGGUGCAUAAAGCAAGCCCCAGAGCUACCUGAUUUAACUUCUUAGAAAUCAGCCCUGCUAGGAGCAGGGGGGUUUGGACUGGAUGACCUCCAGAAGUCCUUUUACAUCCAAAUUAUUUUAUAGCUUUCUAUAUGUGUACAUCUCUGGUACUAAAACCUCUUGCUCCUUGUCUGCUUUUCCUUCCAAAUUUAUGCGUUACACAAAGUGCGACAAGUACCUCUUCACUCUUCAGAAAUCCCUUGUGAAUAAUGCAUGUUAAGAAUCCCAAGCAGUGUCACAGAAUGACAUUCCUAAAUCAAAUUUUAGCUUUUUUACCUGUCACUUCAAAAAUAGCUGAAGUAUUACUUGGAAAUUUCCUAAACUGAUUGACUUUUCUUUCUUUUCAGCAACUUACCGAGACCUGUGAAGCAACCGAUGCUACAGAACCCAGAUCCCGGCAAGAGGCGGGUCUGGCCCACGCCAUGUUCAUCACUCAGAACCUGGAGUGCAGAAGGGCCAGCCAAGAAGAUAUGGCCCUGGAAGACACGGCUUCUCAGCAAAGCCUGUCUGAGGAGCAGUAGGAGUAUUCCUAGCACAAGGGAAUUAAAGAAAGUUAGGUCAGGGAUCUGUACCUGGGUUUAGGUUCUUUCAAAUGUAACAAACAACCUCCAGAUGUUUAUUUUUCUAACUUCUACACAAGAAUACUGUGGGGCAGAUGUUCUUCAGCUAAAGGCCUUGUCAUGGGUAGAGUUGGAAGAUGUCCUAAAAUACACACAGUGCCACUUCCUCUCAGGUUCUUGUAAAUCCUAGAACAAUGAAUACCACCGGUUUGAUGUUCCUUCUCCUGGAAUGGUUGGAAUCACGAGUGAAUACAGUGGGAAAUAUCAACUCAGUGAAAAGCACACAAGACAUCUCUUUCCUGCCAUAACCGAACAGCUGAUUGCAUGCAAACUAAUUGGCAUUUGAUACAUAACAUAGCAAAGGACAACUUUGAACAGAAGCAAUGAAUAGGUAAAAGGACAGUACAACAUGUACUGUAACAUGAGCUAAAUCUGGGUUUUUUUCCAAAGCAAAUAUUUUUUAUUUCUAUUUAACAUGUUAUGCAGGUGGUAAUUCUGAAUAGCAACAUACCAUCACAGAUUGAUAUACUGCAUGCAGCCAUAUUGAAAUAUUACGUGAUUGAGCCACGCUACACAGUUUAACAAAAGUCAAGCGUGAGAAAAGAAAGUAUCCAGUGCAUGGAAAGCCUUCAAAGCAUAUGGUGCACCUCAUUUGCAAAGAAAGCAGCUUUACAUAAACAGCUGCUCUUAGGUAUUAUCUCGUGCUCCUGUUUGGUUUACACCAGUGUUUUUCAAAUUCCAGGCAACAGCCCCCUUGGGAGUUGCCGAAGCACCCAGGGGAAUCCUCCUCAAGAACAGGAAAGUGCAAAGCAGGCUGUAAUUAUCGUCUGGAAGUGUUUGUAUUAGGAAGGGAACAGCUAAAUGCCUUUAAUUGCUGGACACAGCUCAGUGUCCAUAAACACUUGUAGCCAGUAAUUACAGAGCCUUCUGAUUUCCCUCCCCCAGAGAAACUGAGCUGCUGCCAAUUUAAUAGUUGCAUAAAGACAGAUGAGGCAAACAAGGGAGGCUGCGCCUUCACAAAGUUUGAGAAACACUGAUUUACAGGAAUGCAUGACUACUAUGGAAGCCAAAAGGCUACAACGAAUUUUUCCUUAGCACGCACGUGUGCUCAUUUUUGUUGUUUUUUUUUUUUUAAUUAAAAAAAUUGCAGC